GGGCCCGCACAAGCGGUGGAGUAUGUGGUUUAAUUCGAUGCAACGCGAAGAACCUUACCUGGUCUUGACAUCCUGCGAACUUUUUAGAGAUAGAAAGGUGCCUUCGGGAACGCAGUGACAGGUGCUGCAUGGCUGUCGUCAGCUCGUGUUGUGAAAUGUUGGUUAAGUCCCGUAACGAGCGCAACCCUUGUCCUUAUUUGCCAGCACGUAAUGGUGGGAACUCUAAGGAGACUGCCGGUGACAAACCGGAGGAAGGUGGGGACGACGUCAAGUCAUCAUGGCCCUUACGACCAGGGCUACACACGUGCUACAAUGGGGCGUACAGAGGGUUGCGAAGCCGCGAGGUGGAGCC
rnacentral:rRNA from 1 species